rnacentral:rRNA from 1 species
GAGUUUGAUCCUCGGCUCAGAUUGAACGCUGGCGGCAGGCCUAACACAUGCAAGUCGAGCGGUAACAGAUUGAUAGCUUGCUAUCAAUGCUGACGAGCGGCGGACGGGUGAGUAAUGCCUGGGAAUAUACCCUGAUGUGGGGGAUAACUAUUGGAAACGAUAGCUAAUACCGCAUAAUCUCUUGUCUUUUACGAGAUGGGAGCAAAGAGGGGGACCUUCGGGCCUCUCGCGUCAGGAUUAGCCCAGGUGGGAUUAGCUAGUUGGUGGGGUAAUGGCUCACCAAGGCGACGAUCCCUAGCUGGUCUGAGAGGAUGAUCAGCCACACUGGAACUGAGACACGGUCCAGACUCCUACGGGAGGCAGCAGUGGGGAAUAUUGCACAAUGGGGGAAACCCUGAUGCAGCCAUGCCGCGUGUAUGAAGAAGGCCUUCGGGUUGUAAAGUACUUUCAGUUGUGAGGAAGGCGUUGGAGUUAAUAGCUUCAGCGCUUGACGUUAGCAACAGAAGAAGCACCGGCUAACUCCGUGCCAGCAGCCGCGGUAAUACGGAGGGUGCGAGCGUUAAUCGGAAUUACUGGGCGUAAAGCGCAUGCAGGCGGUCUGUUAAGCAAGAUGUGAAAGCCCGGGGCUCAACCUCGGAACAGCAUUUUGAACUGGCAGACUAGAGUCUUGUAGAGGGGGGUAGAAUUUCAGGUGUAGCGGUGAAAUGCGUAGAGAUCUGAAGGAAUACCGGUGGCGAAGGCGGCCCCCUGGACAAAGACUGACGCUCAGAUGCGAAAGCGUGGGGAGCAAACAGGAUUAGAUACCYUGGUAGUCCACGCCGUAAACGAUGUCUACUUGAAGGUUGUGGCCUUGAGCYGUGGCUUUCGGAGCUAACGCGUUAAGUAGACCGCCUGGGGAGUACGGUCGCAAGAUUAAAACUCAAAUGAAUUGACGGGGGCCCGCACAAGCGGUGGAGCAUGUGGUUUAAUUCGAUGCAACGCGAAGAACCUUACCUACUCUUGACAUCCAGAGAAUUCGCUAGAGAUAGCUUAGUGCCUUCGGGAACUCUGAGACAGGUGCUGCAUGGCUGUCGUCAGCUCGUGUUGUGAAAUGUUGGGUUAAGUCCCGCAACGAGCGCAACCCUUAUCCUUGUUUGCCAGCACGUAAUGGUGGGAACUCCAGGGAGACUGCCGGUGAUAAACCGGAGGAAGGUGGGGACGACGUCAAGUCAUCAUGGCCCUUACGAGUAGGGCUACACACGUGCUACAAUGGCGUAUACAGAGGGCUGCAAGCUAGCGAUAGUGAGCGAAUCCCACAAAGUACGUCGUAGUCCGGAUUGGAGUCUGCAACUCGACUCCAUGAAGUCGGAAUCGCUAGUAAUCGUGAAUCAGAAUGUCACGGUGAAUACGUUCCCGGGCCUUGUACACACCGCCCGUCACACCAUGGGAGUGGGCUGCACCAGAAGUAGA